GAGUUUGAUUCCUGGCUCAAGGACGAACGCUUCGGCGGCGUGCUUAACACAUGCAAGUCGAACGAUGAAGCCUAGCUUUGCUAGGUGGAUUAGUGGCGAACGGGUGAGUAAUACGUGAGUGACCUACCUUUGACUCUGGGAUAAGCCUGGGAAACUGGGUCUAAUACCGGAUACGACCAAUCUCCGCAUGGGGUGUUGGUGGAAAGCGUUAUGGAGUGGUUUUAGAUGGGCUCACGGCCUAUCAGCUUGUUGGUGAGGUAAUGGCUUACCAAGGCGACGACGGGUAGCCGGCCUGAGAGGGUGACCGGCCACACUGGGACUGAGACACGGCCCAGACUCCUACGGGAGGCAGCAGUGGGGAAUAUUGCACAAUGGGCGCAACGUGAUGCAGCGACGCCGCGUGAGGGAUGACGGCCUUCGGGUUGUAAACCUCUGUUAGCAUCGAAGAAGCGAAAGUGACGGUAGGUGCAGAGAAAGCGCCGGCUAACUACGUGCCAGCAGCCGCGGUAAUACGUAGGGCGCGAGCGUGUUCCGGAAUUAUUGGGCGUAAAGAGCUUGUAGGCGGUUGGUCGCGUCUGCUGUGAAAGGCUGGGGCUUAACCCUGGUUUUGCAGUGGGUACGGGCUAACUAGAGUGCAGUAGGGGAGACUGGAAUUCCUGGUGUAGCGGUGGAAUGCGCAGAUAUCAGGAGGAACACCGAUGGCGAAGGCAGGUCUCUGGGCUGUAACUGACGCUGAGAAGCGAAAGCAUGGGGAGCGAACAGGAUUAGAUACCCUGGUAGUCCAUGCCGUAAACGUUGGGCACUAGGUGUGGGGGACAUUCCACGUUUUCCGCGCCGUAGCUAACGCAUUAAGUGCCCCGCCUGGGGAGUACGGCCGCAAGGCUAAAACUCAAAGAAAUUGACGGGGGCCCGCACAAGCGGCGGAGCAUGCGGAUUAAUUCGAUGCAACGCGAAGAACCUUACCAAGGCUUGACAUAUACUGGACUGCGUCAGAGAUGGCGUUUCCCUUCGGGGCUGGUAUACAGGUGGUGCAUGGUUGUCGUCAGCUCGUGUCGUGAGAUGUUGGGUUAAGUCCCGCAACGAGCGCAACCCUCGUUCUAUGUUGCCAGCACGUGAUGGUGGGGACUCAUAGGAGACUGCCGGGGUCAACUCGGAGGAAGGUGGGGAUGACGUCAAAUCAUCAUGCCCCUUAUGUCUUGGGCUUCACGCAUGCUACAAUGGCCGGUACAGAGGGUUGCGAUACUGUGAGGUGGAGCUAAUCCCUAAAAGCCGGUCUCAGUUCGGAUUGGGGUCUGCAACUCGACCCCAUGAAGUCGGAGUCGCUAGUAAUCGCAGAUCAGCAACGCUGCGGUGAAUACGUUCCCGGGCCUUGUCCACACCCGCCCGUCA
rnacentral:rRNA from 1 species